rnacentral:tRNA from 2 species
GCGGGUGUUGUGUAAUGGUAAGACCUUAGCCUUCCAAGCUAAUGAUACGGGUUCGAUUCCCGUCACCCGCUCCA